GAAGACGAAGGUGGCGAGGAGAAGAAGAUAGGAUGCGAAGGGAAGGAUGUGUUGGAUAUUCUCAGUGGGACUUCGAACUGCUCCUUAUGUAUGCAGCUCCCCGAGAGGCCACCACGGUAACUUUGCGACUCAGAUCAUUCUCUAUUCUCUAUUAUGUUUUUCGUUAUCACUUCUAUAUACUCACUGUUCAUCUUUUCCCAUCUUUAGGAGCCCUCAGCCUCCCUCCUCUGCCUAAUAUACUCUCUCUCUACAGCCUAAGCUUCUCGCCAUCCUUCUCCUCGUUUGUUCUCAACGACAAAUCGUGAAAGGGAGGGGAAUUAUAGGGGAUCUUCGGAGAGAGUGGAGUCAAUUGGAGAUCGAUGAAAAAUUGGACUCGAUUGACAAAUAAGGCUGGAGAGAUAAACUUCAUAACUCGCAGUGGUGAGAUCGGGAACAAGAAGAAAAGUGAGGAUGAGAUUGGUUGUAACUCACAUGUCCUUCAUUUGCAUAGGUGCUUUGAUUCAUUAUUCUGUUGGUACAUCUAUCUCAAAAAUUGUUGAAGAUACAAUGAAUGUGUCUCUUACUCAUAUAAGUAGAUAAUUUUGGAUUUCUUCAUCUAAGGCUAGCAAACAGAUUCAAGCGGAGAUGGGAUAUGAGUUCACAGUAGUGGUAUAGAUUGUUGUUUAAUGAAGUAAAGUUGCAAGUCCCAGAUGGCAAUGUACCAUUAGAGAACUUAUUUGCCUUACAAUCCUGACUGCAGACAUUUUGAGAAAGGGAAAGCUAUUAUGCAAAAGCUUCUAACUAGGGAGAAUUCACUAGAGGAAGAUGCUAUAGCAACACUGUUAAUUACUGCAGGCAAGAAGAGAAAAAAGUGGUGAGAGGAAGAGGAAUAGAAAAAUUUUGAAGAAGGACAGGUAGUGGCAGUGGCAGAAAAAGAUCAGCUUUUUUAAGGACAGAAAAAAGAGGCGAGAGGAAGAGGAAGAGAAAAAUGUUGAAGAAAAGGACAGGUGGUGGCAGUGGCAGAAAAGAUCAGCUAUUUUUGAGGUGAGAGAGAGAUCUUAGAUCAUGGCUUAGCAUGAGCUCCCCCAUCAGCAUUAUUUUUAUUAGGAAAGGAAAAAAAACAUGAAAAAAAAAAUGUGCUGAGUUAUCUGGUUGCUCUAAACAUAUUUCCAUUUUCAUUAUUCUUUUUUUUUUUUGGGUAGUUGGUAUAGCAUCAUUCAAAGUUACUCUAUUCGGUCCUAUUUAUAAGACACUUUUUAGAAGUAAUUUUUAGUUCAAAAUAUAAGAUAUUUUGUAAUAAUUAAACCAUUUUUUUAAUUUUACUUUUUCAUGAUUACCGUGAAAGUGUUUAAUAUAGUUGUAUCCUUAUUUAAAAUUAAAGGUAAAAUUGAAAGUAUAUGUCACUUUUUUAUGCAAGAAAAAAAACUAACUUUUCUUAAGAUGUAUAGAACAAUUAAAGCAUAUAAUAAAGAUCGGAGGGAGUAUCAUUUUUACCUUGAGUAUGGCAGACCAGGUAUCCGAUCAAGAUUUCAUGAAUAUUGUGCAAAAAAUAACCAUAAUGAUAGAAAGAGUUUUUAUUAUUUCUUUGGUUUUAAACAUAGGUUAUGCUUUGUUUACAACUGGCCUUUUAAAUAGAGGUAAUAUUUUGUUUGUCGCUGACCUGAUUUAAAGUAAGUUUAAUUUUAUUAUUUCUUAACAUAUUUGCUCCUUUCAUGAUUACAUCAAUUAAAUGUUUUAUUCAAAGUAGUUUGACAGUAAUUAGAAGCAUGAAGUUUCAUGGCCAUGGUCAUUUUGAAGCCCAACUGCUCAGUCCUAAUAACCAAACACACCAUACAUAUCCAACUAUCCUUCAGUUUAUCGUUCCUUGAGCAUGUGGUGGAGGUUUUGAUUCCUCACUCAUAUAAAUGGAGAGCAUUUUAUAGCCAGUCGUUUGCCCCUUUGUGGAAGACCUCACGGUGAAGGGAUUAAUCAUUACUAUUGAUAGUGGAUACCUUGAGCAAUCGAAAAAAAAAAUUUAAAAAUGAUUUGUAUAUAUAAGGUUUGUUAAAGGUUAUCAUGCUACUUGACCUCGUACUUUUUUAUUAUAUAUUUGUUUAUUUAGACGGGAAAAGGGGGAGGUUGUAGGGGUGACUUUGAAAGCUGGGAGAUGUGUUUUAAUUUUGAUUUUGUUGAGUCUUUUCAUUUCUUUUUUUCCUCUGAUUUGUUCCUUUUUUUAAGACCCAAAAUAAGUUCCAUUCAUCAUUUUAGGCAUGAAGCAAAUGCUAUAUUGUUUAAGAUUUUUUUUUAUUAAUUUGUUAACUUAGUGCCAGAAUUUUUAUA